GUGAAUCCCUGAAUUCUUGACCGCGGAUAGGCGGGAUAUUACGAUCAACACUGAAAUUCAAUACAGCGCUAAUGUCAAGUGUAGUGCUGUCUGGGCCCCCCUGUCGUAGGUGGACUCAGGCAGUUGUUCAGUUUGCUUUGUCUUGGGCCGGCUCUGACAGUAAUCUAUAUUCAUAAGCUUUGGAAAAUACAUUUUAUGGAAAGUGACCUAAAGGUAGAUUUAAUUACAUCUUGUUGGUACUCCCUUCAUCCAGCCUCCUUUUCCCGGCAGGAGGAGCGCUCCUCUCUGGAUUAUCCUCUGCACUGUCUGGAUGGCUGCGCACGACCCCGCCCGCUCCCGUGACGCAGCGCAUCUCUUUACGCGCAGAUGCUGGAGUCGAAGAGACAGGCGCGCACAUCUCUUAGGGCUGAGCACAUCCACUACCGGACACGGUAGAGGGAAGAUCAGCCGGUGUGCAUCCGACAGGGAUCCCCCGGACAGCGGGGUAGGAUGCUCAGAACGAGUCGCUCCGUGGGCAGCAGUACUUGAAGAGCUGCGGUCCAUCCACUGGAACGCUUUAAGAUUGAUCUCGAAUCAAUUCCUCUGGCUUUUUAAGAAACGCCACCGUCCAGUUUAGUAUCUAGAGCCAGUUGAGGGUAGAUCGGGGUUUGGCUUGGACACGAUGUGGAAGUCCGGGACACUACUGCUACUGUCGGUGCUGUGGGCGUCCGGUGAACUCCAGCAGGAGACAGAGCCGCGGAGGCUACCACCUCCGGGAAAGUUGGAUUUUGGUUAUGUGCCUGCGGGAGUUUACGAGACAUUGGCCCAUUACGAACCCGGACCCAUAGGGAUCCUCUUCCACUUGGUGCACGCUUUCCUGCAUGUGGUGCAACCCAACGCUUUCCCCCACGAUCUUAUUGUGAAGCUGGCAAAGGAGAAGUUUGGAGCCAUUCAAACAGAAUAUCAAAAGCCAGAGAACAUAGUGCUGACCCUGCAGGCCAUCUACUAUGAGAUAGGCUUCCUCAUAUGUGCAGCGGUGGGCCUGCUCUUCGCCAUCCUCAUGCCCAUUGUGGGGCUCUUCUUCUGCAUGUGCCGCUGCUGCGACAACUGCGGUGGUGAGAUGCACCAACGCCAGAGGAAGAACGCGGACUGCCAGCGCGGCCUGCUGGGAACGUUGCUCUUCUCCACCUCGUUGGUCAUCACGAUUGGAGUUCUGUGUGCGUAUGCAGCCAACCAGAACCUGAGCUCUCAGGUGAAGAACAUACGCCGACUGGUUAACAGCAACAUGAGGGACCUGCACACCUUUGCUAAUGACACACCAAUGCAAAUUGAUUACCUAAUAUCCCAAUACGCCACCGUCAAGAACAAAGUCAACUAUGACCUAGAUAACAUAGGUCCAUUACUCGGGGGAAGGAUACAUGUACGGUUAGAUAAAGAGGUCCAUCCUGCUUUAAACCAAGUGCUCAAUAUGGCUGGAGCCAUGAGGGAAACCAAGGAGGCCCUGGAGAACGUCAGUGUAUCUCUGGUGGUCUUACAGGAAGGAGCCGGAAAACUUCAUUUCAACCUGAGUCACGUCUGCGACAGCAUCAACCGCACACUGGAUGACUCCGGGUGUCAUGACGAGGAAUCGGACGCCACCACGGCCCAGCUUUGCCGCAGCAUCCGCCAGUCCCUGUCCCAGCUGCAGAUUAGUGCAAAUUUCACCCGGCUUCCGAAUGUGAACCCUCAGCUGGAAAAGAUGAAAAAUGUAGUGAAAACAGAUCUCAGCUCUGUCGUCCACAGGGGUUUUUCCUCUUUGAAUGACACACCACACAUUGUGAUUGAACAGACAAGAAGCGUUGUCAACAGUGUCCAGAAUUUAGUGGACAGUGUCGGCAACAACAUCAGCAGCUUCUCCAAAGCUUUCCCUUUGCAGACCUGCUUGUCUAACUUCACCAUCUUCAUCAGCCAUGCACACGCCAAAAUCGAAGACUACUAUCCUGAAGUGGAUAAAAUGGACUUCUACAGAUGGAUCGGCUGUAUCGCUCUGUGCUGCAUGGUGGUUCUGGUUUUGGCCUUUAACUAUUUGGGCCUUCUGUGCGGCACCCUGGGAUACGACAAGCAUGCCUCACCGACGACACGAGGAUGUAUCUCCAAUACAGGAGGAACACUGCUGAUGGCCGGUGUUGGAUUUAGCUUCAUUUUCUCCUGGAUGCUCAUGGGAGUGUUGACCACCAUCUUUCUGGCAGGAGGAAACAUGGAGAAACUUCUUUGUGAGCCAUUUCACACCAAAGAACUCUUCAAGGUCGUUGACACCCCAUACUUGAUCAAUCCAGAGUGGAAGAAUUUCAUUCCAGGCUACAUGUACAAUGACUCUGAACUGGAGCUGACAUCAGAAAGCUUGUACAGUACUUGCAAACAGAACAAAGGCAUCUACUCUGCCCUGCGUCUGGAUAAAGUCUUCAACAUCUCCUCGUUCCUGAACACCACAGUGUUCACUAAGGAUGUGGUGCGUCAGCUGGAGAACUUUCGGAUUGACCUGAGAGCGAUAAUCCUGUUAGAAGCAGAGGGGAAGCAGAACCUCCUAGAUUUCUCUGAAGCUGGCUUAUCAGAGAUCAACUACGCUGACUAUCUUGACGAGGUGAAUAAAGGAGUCACUGUGGUGGAUGUUCUCUCAUUCGCCAAAGAGCUGGAGUCCCAGACAGACCUGAUGCCCAGGGGACAUCUUCAGACAGCUCUGAAAGGCCAUGUGGCCACUCUGCAGCGGAUCCACAGACAACAGAUCGCUCCAAUGGAGCAGGCCAUGAAAUAUGUUAGAGCAAGGAGUGCUUUGAACCAGAGUAUGAGAUUCCUGGAGAGGACAGCUUCUGACCUCCCGAACAAAGUCACAGGUGUUCUUGAGGCCAUUGAAGCUGCAGAGCACCUCAUCUCCCAGAAUGCAACACUUUUAAUCAAUCAGGAAACAAGAAAAUACUCAGCAACCAUUAUUGGUUAUUUCAAUCAGUACAUAGAAUGGGUCAAAACAUCAUUGGCUUUGGAGGUUGCACCAUGCAAGCCCUUCAGCAACAUCUUGGAUACGGCGCAGAUCAUGACCUGCAGUUUCUUGGUGGAUUCUAUGAACACUUUCUGGAUGGGUCUGGGCUGCAGCACACUAUUCUUGCUCCCAAGCGUAAUACUAGCUGUGAAACUAGCCAAGUACUACCGCAGGAUGGACACAGAGGAUGUUUAUGACGACUCCUCUGUUUCUGGGACUUGGCAUUUUACUUUGUGAUAACCAUUCCUACUAUUUCCAUCAUGUCAUAUUUUUCAUUUUAUUUCUUCAUUCUUCUUUGUCAAGCACUUGGCACUUUACAAAGAAAAGACACUGAUAAAUAAGUCAAUUCUUAUUUCUUCUUCAUGGGCCUUUUUCAUGUUCAGACUGUGGACUCAUGGCUUUAUCUACAGUAGUAGUAAUUGUGAUAUCUCAGCUGAUCAACUGCAUCCCCCUCUGUGCAGUCAGUGCUGGAUUGCACAGAAGAACUUCUGAUGCAUUUCUUUUGCUGAAAAUCUCAAUAACAUUUUUAUGUUCCUGUUUUCUCUGUAUCUCCAUAGUGUUGAGACAAUUCCCAUGAAAAAGUAAGAUGUUCUUCCCCAACCUCCUUUUCAUUUUAACUUCUCUCACUCUGUGCUUUUUUCCCAAGUAAUGUAUAUAGAAAGCUGUUUACUAAAUUCUUGGUGCUCGUUUGCAUUUUUGAGCUUCAAAAUUGCUCAUGUGGGUGAACGAUGUGGCUUUUUGUCGUGUGCUAUGUUUAAGAAGUGCCCCUUACAGUACCUUUCAUGAAGGGCUCUUGCAAUCAUUAAAGUGUUUUUUGUAAAAAAAUAAAUAAAUAAAUUGUGUAAAUAGAACACUAAGGUUUAUACUCAGAACAUAUUCAUCUCCUGAUAUUGUUUAAAAAUUUAUCCACAUAUAAAGAAAACAUUUUUAUUCAGCAUGUCGCGUUUCUCAUUUUUCAUUCCAUUUUUGUUCACAAUGUUUUAUUUUCAGUAUGGAAAUUGGUAAUAAUGGUUAUCAUAGUGAGAGUUCACAAGGUAUUCCUAAUCCUAUGAUGACAAGGUAAACUUUCUAUUUAUCCUGCUAACUGCAUGUCAUGGUGGAGGUGGAUGCAUGCCUGGGAAGUUGGUUUUAUAUGUUAUAUGGCUGAACACAGUGCAUGCUUGCAGAGGGAGUCAUUUCAAGACACGCACUUGCAUAAGUGUGUGUGAUAUUAUAGAAGUGGUAGCUUUUAUUAGAAACAAUCUGGAAUCAUUUUUUUGGUGUCUGAUAAAAAGUGCUUUAAAAUAAAUUUCAGCAGUGGUUUAACAUUUGGGAUGGAGAUCAGAUCACAGCCCUACUGUUUCCUUUGAGGCUGAAAUAUGGAGCAGAAUAAAAAAACUGUUGGGUUAUUCAACUUGAAGACUGGGGAUUAUUGAAAAACAAAUACUAAUAAAGGUUUGUUAUAGAGAGUAUCUAAAGCUAAUAUGCAUAACUCUGUUAGAAGUGCCAUUUUCAUAAUCAACAUUUUAAAUAUUGCAACUUAAAGGACUGUAAUUGCAAUUGUUAUUUAGUCAAAACACUUGUUUAUCACAGUAAGCAAAAGUAAACUAGAGGCGAGUAUUAGAAAAAUAAGAGCUGGAACAUCUUGAUGGAGAAAAAGAAUUUUGUAUAAAAAAAAUUACAGUCUUUAGUCUGAGGAAAACCAUACCCUCACUUAAACUCUCUUUCAUCAAAGAGAAAUUAGGGUUUCAAUUCCCAAUAAUCAGUCAGAUUCUUCUACCUUCCAACAAUCAUAGGAGCCUUGAGGCUGAAGAAUCUGUCUGCUACCACUACUUCACUGUCAUGUUGAAAAUGUUCUGCUCGGUGCUUUUGAGGGAAUCUACCAUAUUACUAACCAACUGCUUUCUUUCUGAUGCUGGGAAAUUCCUGUGGAAUGAAAUGAAACCUUCUCCUGUUUCCUCUUGUUUAGUGUCGGCCAAAGUCCGAUGAAUGUACACCUGAUCAUUUUGUUCAGAGAGAGGCAAGCAUGUUGAGCUUUAGUGUGUCCCUGGAUAUGUUGCUAGUUUUGAUUUUCUUUUCUGAAUCUAACCAGAUGCUUAACUGCGUGUUUUAUCUUUUUAAGUUGCAUUUGGAUGCAGAUGAGUUUGCACAAACCAACAAGAUAAACACAGAGAGUAAAACAUCUAAAUGAGGACUUGCUCUGACUUGUUGCAGUUUGAAAAAAUAGGAGUUUCAUUUCCAGUUUGAACUUGCAAGAUUAAUACAACUUUUUUAUUAAACCUUGUCUUUCUAUUUGAGUUGCAUUAAGCUUUUGGAAUGAAACUCAUGCGUCAAUAGGACUUUAAUAAAAUUUAAAACCUGUUCUAAUUGAUCAACACUAAACUACUCUGUUUGCACAGUAAGCUACUCAGAGAAUGUUUUGCUCUCUGUUAUAUGAACUGCUCACCCUUUUCUGCUUGCCACCAAAAAGUAGUGGACGUAAAAUGUUGAGUCUGUCUGGUAACGUUUUUCCCUGCGUGUUUGUUCCUGUGAUGAUAGCGUCCCAACAUUUGAAACAAUAAACAGGUUUCCACGGGCCUCGGCUCCUCCGAGGCACAUCGACUGGUGAGAGUCAGCUCUAGCUUGGCUCCUGAAAGUGCCCUUGACAACUGGAACUAAACGUCAUGCUCACUUGAGGAAUCUCAAAAUACGCUGGUUUCUUCACUUCAAAAGAAGAACACGGAAGAUCCUGCUUGUUCAACGAUGCAGAUCAAAUUGUCCAGUUUGGUUUCUGCCGGCAGGACGCUAACCUCAUCAGCCCUCAGCAUCAAUCUGAGCCAGGUUUCAUCUACAUUUUCCAGGACUGUUGUGUCUGUGUUUACAUUUGUUUGGAUACAAAACCAAGCUGAAAAAGCCCUUGAGAGGACAUAACAUUGACUGUUGUGCUCAUUUUUAUGAACUUCGUGCUCAAGAAAAGAGAAGCUGGGAAAGUUAUAUUUUAUUUCUGCAGUUAAAAAGGGUGUUGCACUUUCAAAGUGAGUGUCAAAAGGCAGGUUUCAUAAAAAUCUGAUUGUUUCAUUGAAAAAAUGCAUCCUUUUUAUUAACUGAGACACAAGUGAGCUCAUGUAUGUGGGAUAUUUUACCUGUUGAGAAAAGGCUUGUGUGAACAGUGGCAUAACGACUUGUGGAGAGAAUUUGUAAGAAAACGGAGCAUAACUUUUUUUUUUUUUUUUUUUAAGGCUGUUUACAAUAUUUUCAGACAUGUUGGUUUUGUUGAUUUUUGGUGGCUAUGGGUCAAUUUCCCUCUUUGACUAUUCAUAACCUCAUUCAAAUUUUGCCAUUUUGUCCCCAAAUUCUUCAAUAUCUUACCUGUAAAUCACACUACUUGUAUCCCUUUGUUCAAAUCUCAGGAAUAAUUCAAUAACAAAGAUAGAAUUUUAUUUCUUAAAAAAAAUACAUAUAUUGCACCCCUUUUUCAUUGGUUUGGACUCUGAUAUCUGCUUGGACCUGUCCCAUUAGAGGCACAUUACAAAAAAGAUUUUUUACAGUAGAAGCAAAAUACCAAAAAUGACUUCGACUCAGUGGUCAAAUUGGGUAUUAAAUGUCUCCUGACUGAAUGUUGGUAUGCAACAUCCAAUGACAGAUGUUGCAUACAAACAUUUGUUGCAUUACAACAACAGAUGUUGCCUUUGUUGGUAUGCAACAACUAUUCAGCGUGAAAAAGGCAAAAGUGGAAAAGUAUGAAAUGACAAAGGGGCAACAUGACCCACCUGUAUGUGAGAAACACUGAAGAGGACUGUCUGCCUUUGAGAUGUUUUACCAUGACGUUACAGUUAAAAAAGGCCAUAUCACUAUGUUAAACAUAACAUAGUGUACCAUUGUACCACUGUACCAUUUAAACUUGUGUCAGGUGUUAACAUUUAGCAUUUAUUUAUAAUUCAGAGCGGUAAAUUGUUCUAAAGCGAUUCUUCUACUUGGAGUUUUAAAUACCAAAUCUCAGAAUUAUUUUUGAAGAGUGGGUUUAGAAAAAAAACACAAAUUCUUGAAGCAAGGGACACAUAUGACCAAUCAUCUUCCUUUAUUAUUGUAAAAAAAAAAAAAAUCCCAUCACAACCACACUGUAACACCAAAUGACAAAUUCUUACCAAAUGCAAGGCCGAUGUGUUGAACUAUCCAUUAAAAUAAUGCAGUACAGUUGGAGAAUAAUAGUAAAAAUAACAUCUACUUCUAUUUCCUCUAUGUACCACAUGUGUUUAUUUUCAGAUCUUUCCUGCUUUAUGGUACUCAUAAUUUUAAAGUGGAAAGUUAACUCUCAAGCCAAAUCCCAUAUUUUUAAAUAGUCUUUCUGUGGCACGCUUUUUCCCCUUUGCCUGCUUUUUUGUUAAACAGUACUUCUGAAUACAUGGAACUUUUGAAUGUGUUCUUUCAUUAAUCAUUGUUAUAUGUGGAGGUUGAGUGAGAAAUAUGCUGAUAUUGUUACAUCAGGGAGGCCAAUCAACAUAUCCUAUAUCUCAUAUUUCUAUACAGAUGUUUUCUCCAGUGAGACCUUAGACAAUCCAUUUAUGGGACAAAUGAGCACCAUUAAUCAGAUUGUUGAAAAGACAUAUUGUUCAUGAUUUACCCAGAUCUGGUUUAUGUGGACUGUGAAAAAAGCAAUACCUGCCUUAGCAACCAAAAUUUGGAUUUUGUUUGUCACUGUAAAUGCACAAUAACUAUGAACAUUUACCAGCUAGUAGAUUAUAUAAUGUGCAUAUGUAAAGACUAACAAAAGUCAGUUUUUAUGUGAUUAAAAAAAAAUCAGAUUUUCUUUAAACUGUAAUGGUAACAGCUGGUCUAAAUUUAAUACUUUAUCCAUAAUUUUUAUAUUAUAUUUGUUUUAUACUCCAACAAAUCCAUUUUAAAUCCAAGUUUGUUAUUGUUUUUAAAAGACAAAGUCCAUGGGCUUGAAUAAAAACAAACAAAAACAACGUGUCAGUUAAGAAGUCGCUAAAGAGAGUACUAACAUUUAACAACUUUUAAUAAGGUUACCAUGACAAGGAUUAAAAAUUAACUCAUUUUUGUAGAUUUUUGUGCACAUUUGACUUCUAUAAAGCCAAUAACUGUAAUUUGCAGUAGAAGUACUGAAAAUGUUUACCAACGGUUUACAAGUUAUGCUCUGCUACACUGACUUUACACACUAUUUUCAUACAUUUUAUUUCUCCAAAGGAAACACUGACUGCCAUGUUAAAAUGUCCCAGCUGUGCUUUUCCAUAAUGUGAAUUUAUUGGCUUUGUCUCUUCCCAGCGUUCUCUUUUUUUGCUUACUUCAUUUACAAACGUAGUUUUCCUCAAGGUGGACGUUUUUAGAUGAUUGGUGUGCUCAUGUUGACUAUCACAGUUUUACUCCUUGCUGGAGUUUGGUAAUACAUUUAUGGGGACAAAUUCACAACUUAAGUGCUUAAACUAGGUAUAUACGAUAGCUUUGGGUUGAUCCGAUGAAUGGGUCGCUGGUUUUAAAUGUGAUGCUGAACAGUUGGGUGAUGAUGGAUCCAGGAAGAUUCUUGUUUUUUAUGUGGAUAUGAUAAAAGUGUAUAAAUUGUGAAUAAACUCUCCAUUUCAAAUUA